UACGGAGGGUGCGAGCGUUACCCGGAUUUACUGGGUGUAAAGGGCGUGUAGGCGGUCUCUCAAGUCCGAUGCUAAAGACCGAGGCUCAACCUCGGGAGUGCGUUGGAUACUGUGAGGCUAGACGGUCGGAGAGGGCAGCGGAAUUCUCGGAGUAGCGGUGAAAUGCGCAGAUACCGGAAGGAACGCCAAUAGCGAAGGCAGCUGCCUGGACAGUACGUGACGCUGAGGCGCGAAAGCGUGGGGAGCAAACCGG
rnacentral:rRNA from 1 species